rnacentral:rRNA from 1 species
UACGUAGGUGGCGAGCGUUGUCCGGAAUUACUGGGUGUAAAGGGCGCGUAGGCGGGGAUGUAAGUCAGAUGUGAAAUACCGGGGCUUAACUUCGGGGCUGCAUCUGAAACUAUGUUUCUUGAGUGCUGGAGAGGAAAGCGGAAUUCCUAGUGUAGCGGUGAAAUGCGUAGAUAUUAGGAGGAACACCAGUGGCGAAGGCGGCUUUCUGGACAGUAACUGACGCUGAGGCGCGAAAGCGUGGGGAG